AAAACAUUUGACAUUUUGGUAUGACAUAACCAAAACAUCAAAUCUGCAAAAUGGUGUUGCAGUAAAAAGAAGCAGCAGUCUGUGACUUUAUAAUUACCAACUAUUGAUCAUUAUACUUCACCUGCUGCUCUUUCUGAUCAACCAUCCUCGUUGAAUUCCCUCACCUGUUGUCACUUUCACCAGCGGAGUCUCUGCGUACAGUAAAGAGGCAAAGUAACAAAAUCCAGUUGAGGUAGAUUUGUUUGGAGCUGCAGGUCUGUCAAAGAAGCUGGCGUUCAUUACUUUGGGCAAGUCCAACACUCAUACCAGACAACACAAUGGAGCCUCUGUUUAAAAUGUUGUGCAAGAGAGGAAAAAACAAAUACCGGGAACUUUAUUUGUUGUGAAGCUGAUGCGUAGAGCCUUGCAUUGCCCCCAUCCAUCACGGACGUUGAUCACGGCUCCUGGAUGGGUUGAAGCUGACAGUCUGCAUGCUGCCUGCUCAUCACUCGUCCUUCGCAGCCUCAGAAUGUGUUUGGGAUCACAGGGUUAUUAAACUGUAAUAGCUGCCUUUUUGAGAAGCCCAGCGGGAUUUAUUCCUGAGUCAACAUGCCAGAACCCAUUUCCUCCUCACUCACAGCUGCCUCUCAACACCCGAUAGCAACUGCAGAAACACUGGAUGAAACUUGUGUAGAUUGCGAAAACCCUGGAAGUGACCCUGCAUAAUGUGCUAGCUUCACUUGGGGAAUUGAGCCAGUAAAUGUCCGUUUGAAACCAAGUUAUUGAACGGAAAAGGCACAUGAU